rnacentral:rRNA from 1 species
AGUGAACGCUGGCGGCGUGCCUAACACAUGCAAGUCGAGCGGGGGAGGUUGCUUCGGUAACUGACCUAGCGGCGGACGGGUGAGUAAUGCUUAGGAAUCUGCCUAUUAGUGGGGGACAACAUCUCGAAAGGGAUGCUAAUACCGCAUACGUCCUACGGGAGAAAGCAGGGGACCUUCGGGCCUUGCGCUAAUAGAUGAGCCUAAGUCGGAUUAGCUAGUUGGUGGGGUAAAGGCCUACCAAGGCGACGAUCUGUAGCGGGUCUGAGAGGAUGAUCCGCCACACUGGGACUGAGACACGGCCCAGACUCCUACGGGAGGCAGCAGUGGGGAAUAUUGGACAAUGGGGGGAACCCUGAUCCAGCCAUGCCGCGUGUGUGAAGAAGGCCUUUUGGUUGUAAAGCACUUUAAGCGAGGAGGAGGCUACUGGUAUUAAUACUACCGGAUAGUGGACGUUACUCGCAGAAUAAGCACCGGCUAACUCUGUGCCAGCAGCCGCGGUAAAAC